rnacentral:rRNA from 1 species
UACGUAGGGUGCAAGCGUUGUCCGGAAUUAUUGGGCGUAAAGAGCUCGUAGGCGGUCUGUCGCGUCUGCUGUGAAACCUGGGGCUUAACUCUGGGCGUGCAGUGGGUACGGGCAGACUAGAGGUGUGGUAGGGGAGACUGGAAUUCCGUGGUGAUAGCGGUGAAAUGCGCAGAUAUCGAGGAGGAACACCGAUGGCGAAGGCAGGUCUCUGGGCCAC